ensembl:rRNA 5S_rRNA 5S ribosomal RNA
GCUUACGGCCACACCGCCUGGUUCACGCCCGAUCUCGUUUGAUCUCGAAAGCUAAGAUAGGGUGGGCCUGGUUAGUACUUGGAUGGGAGACCGCCUGGGAAUACCAGGUGUUGUAAGAU